rnacentral:rRNA from 1 species
UUCGGCGUUGAAUCCAAUUGAACCGCAGGCUUCACCCCUUGUGGUGCUCCCCCGCCAAUUCCUUUAAGUUUCAUACUUGCGUACGUACUUCCCAGGCGGCAAACUUAACGGCUUCCCUGCGGCACUGCACUGGCCAAAAGCCAGUGCAUCACCGAGUCUGCAUCGUUUACAGCUGGGACUACCCGGGUAUCUAAUCCGGUUUGCUCCCCCAGCUUUCAUCCCUCACCGUCGAACGUGUUCUGGUAGACCGCCUUCGCCACAGGUGGUCAUCAAGAGAUCAAAGGAUUUUACCCCUUCCUCCCGAGUACCGUCUACCUCUCCCACUCCCUAGUUCUGCAGUAUUUCCGGCAGCCCAUUAGUUGAGCUAGUGGAUUUAACCGGAAACUUACAGAACCGGCUACGGAUGCUUUAGGCCCAAUAAUCCUCCUGACCACUUGAGGUGCUGGUUUUACCGCGGCGGCUGACACCAGAACUUGCCCACCCCUUAUUCAUCAGUGGUUUUAGAACUAACAAAAGAUUCCUUUAGCAGGAAACACUCGGAUUAACCUUGUCGUGCUUGCGCACAUUGCAAAGGUUUCUCGCCUGCUGCGCCCCAUAGGGCCUGGGUCCGUGUCUCAGUACCCAUCUCCGGGCUUCUCCUCUCAGAGCCCGUACCUGUAAUAGCCUUGGUGGGCCAUUACCUCACCAACAAGCUGAUAGGCCGCAGUCCCAUCCUAUGGCGACGAAUCAUUUGGACCAUAAACCGUUCCAGGCAUUAUGAUCUAUCGCGGAUUAUUCUCAGUUUCCCGAGGUUAUCCACGUCCAUAGGGCAGAUUGACUACGUGUUACUGAGCCGUAUGCCUUGUAUUGCUACAAUGACUCACAUGGCUUAGUACCAAUCCGAUAGCAGUCAGGU